GGAUUUUAAAUGUAUUCUCAGUUAAAGGAAUCAAGGUUCCUUAAAGAGAUGGUUGAUUGCAUGGGAAGGAGAAAGCAAGGUCCUAACUAAACCCUAGUUCAACUUGAGCAGUAUUCAGAAAACUCAAACAUCUGAAUGAUUAAUGUUAUCUGUUAACAACUGAAGUAACCAAAAGGACACGGGUCAUCAACAUCAAACAUGAUAUUUACAGUUUCAUCAGAUGUAAGUGGCACAAGGUGUCCUAUACUACACAAAGUUUGGUCAGCCUUCUCAGCAGGCUCAGAUGAAGAUUUCGAGAACCUUUACUAUGUUAUUAUUUCG
rnacentral:lncRNA from 1 species